rnacentral:rRNA from 1 species
GAUGAACGCUGGCGGCGUGCCUAAUACAUGCAAGUCGAGCGAACAGACGAGGAGCUUGCUCCUCUGACGUUAGCGGCGGACGGGUGAGUAACACGUGUAUACCCUACCUAUAAGACUGGGAUAACUUCGGGACACCGGAGCUAAUACCGGAUAAUAUAUUGAACCGCAUGGUUCAAUAGUGAAAUACGGCUUUUCUGUCUCUUAUAGAUGGAUCCGCGCCGCAUUAGCUAGUUGGUAAGGUAACGGCUUACCAAGGCGACGAUGCGUAGCCGACCUGAGAGGGUGAUCGGCCACACUGGAGCUGAGACACGGUCCAGACUCCUACGGGAGGCAGCAGUAGGGAAUCUUCCGCAAUGGGCGAAAGCCUGACGGAGCAACGCCGCGUGAGUGAUGAAGGUCUUCGGAUCGUAAAACUCUGUUAUUAGGGAAGAACAAAUGUGUAAGUAACUAUGCACGUCUUGACGGUACCUAAUCAGAAAGCCACGGCUAACUACGUG